UACGGAGGGAGCUAGCGUUGUUCGGAAUUACUGGGCGUAAAGCGCACGUAGGCGGCUUUGUAAGUUAGAGGUGAAAGCCCGGGGCUCAACUCCGGAACUGCCUUUAAGACUGCAUCGCUUGAAUCCAGGAGAGGUGAGUGGAAUUCCGAGUGUAGAGGUGAAAUUCGUAGAUAUUCGGAAGAACACCAGUGGCGAAGGCGGCUCACUGGAGCUGGUAUUGACGCUGAGGUGCGAAAGCUAGGGGAGCGAACAGG
rnacentral:rRNA from 1 species